AUUGAACGCUGGCGGCAGGCCUAACACAUGCAAGUCGAGCGGAUGAAGGGAGCUUGCUCCUGGAUUCAGCGGCGGACGGGUGAGUAAUGCCUAGGAAUCUGCCUGGUAGUGGGGGAUAACGUCCGGAAACGGGCGCUAAUACCGCAUACGUCCUGAGGGAGAAAGUGGGGGAUCUUCGGACCUCACGCUAUCAGAUGAGCCUAGGUCGGAUUAGCUAGUUGGUGGGGUAAAGGCCUACCAAGGCGACGAUCCGUAACUGGUCUGAGAGGAUGAUCAGUCACACUGGAACUGAGACACGGUCCAGACUCCUACGGGAGGCAGCAGUGGGGAAUAUUGGACAAUGGGCGAAAGCCUGAUCCAGCCAUGCCGCGUGUGUGAAGAAGGUCUUCGGAUUGUAAAGCACUUUAAGUUGGGAGGAAGAGCAGUAAGUUAAUACCUUGCUGUUUUGACGUUACCAACAGAAUGAGCACCGGCUAACUUCGUG
rnacentral:rRNA from 1 species